AGCGAACGCUGGCGGCAGGCUUAACACAUGCAAGUCGAGCGGGCGUAGCAAUACGUCAGCGGCAGACGGGUGAGUAACGCGUGGGAACGUACCUUUUGGUUCGGAACAACCCAGGGAAACUUGGGCUAAUACCGGAUAAGCCCUUACGGGGAAAGAUUUAUCGCCGAAAGAUCGGCCCGCGUCUGAUUAGCUAGUUGGUGAGGUAACGGCUCACCAAGGCGACGAUCAGUAGCUGGUCUGAGAGGAUGAUCAGCCACAUUGGGACUGAGACACGGCCCAAACUCCUACGGGAGGCAGCAGUGGGGAAUAUUGGACAAUGGGCGGCAAGCCUGAUCCAGCCAUGCCGCGUGAGUGAUGAAGGCCCUAGGGUUGUAAAGCUCUUUUGUGCGGGAAGAUAAUGACGGUACCGCAAGAAUAAGCCCCGGCUAACUUCGUGCCAGCCGCCGCCGAAC
rnacentral:rRNA from 1 species